UACGGAGGAUCCGAGCGUUAUCCGGAUUUAUUGGGUUUAAAGGGUGCGUAGGCGGCCUUGUAAGUCAGCGGUGAAAUUUUGCAGCUUAACUGUAAAAGUGCCGUUGAUACUGUGAGGCUAGGAUUUGGUUGCUGUGGGUGGAAUGUGUGGUGUAGCGGUGAAAUGCUUAGAGAUCACACAGAAUAUCGAUUGCGAAGGCAGCUCACAAAGCCAAGAUUGACGCUGAGGCACGAAAGUGUGGGGAUCAAACAGGAUUA
rnacentral:rRNA from 1 species